GGGAAUGCCGGUGGUAGGGGCAUGGUAAGAAGGGGGGGGAGAGGGUUGUUGGGAAGUACGGGGCGUGAAGCGGACGGAGGCGGCGUUGGAAGUUAGAGGGGAAAGCCCGGGGCGCAACUCCGGAAGUGCCUUUAAAACUGCAUCGCUAGAAUUGUGGAGAGGUAAGUGGAAUUCCGAGUGUAGAGGUGAAAUUCGUAGAUAUUCGGAAGAACACCAGUGGCGAAGGCGACUUACUGGACACAUAUUGACGCUGAGGUGCGAAAGCGCGGGGAGCAAACAGGAUUAGAUACCCGGGUAGUC
rnacentral:rRNA from 1 species